GUCGAACGAUGAUCCCAGCUUGCUGGGGGAUUAGUGGCGAACGGGUGAGUAACACGUGAGUAACCUGCCCUUAACUCUGGGAUAAGCCUGGGAAACUGGGUCUAAUACCGGAUAUGACUCCUCAUCGCAUGGUGGGGGGUGGAAAGCUUUAUUGUGGUUUUGGAUGGACUCGCGGCCUAUCAGCUUGUUGGUGAGGUAAUGGCUCACCAAGGCGACGACGGGUAGCCGGCCUGAGAGGGUGACCGGCCACACUGGGACUGAGACACGGCCCAGACUCCUACGGGAGGCAGCAGUGGGGAAUAUUGCACAAUGGGCGAAAGCCUGAUGCAGCGACGCCGCGUGAGGGAUGACGGCCUUCGGGUUGUAAACCUCUUUCAGUAGGGAAGAAGCGAAAGUGACGGUACCUGCAGAAGAAGCGCCGGCUAACUACGUGCCAGCAGCCGCGGUAAUACGUAGGGCGCAAGCGUUAUCCGGAAUUAUUGGGCGUAAAGAGCUCGUAGGCGGUUUGUCGCGUCUGCCGUGAAAGUCCGGGGCUCAACUCCGGAUCUGCGGUGGGUACGGGCAGACUAGAGUGAUGUAGGGGAGACUGGAAUUCCUGGUGUAGCGGUGAAAUGCGCAGAUAUCAGGAGGAACACCGAUGGCGAAGGCAGGUCUCUGGGCAUUAACUGACGCUGAGGAGCGAAAGCAUGGGGAGCGAACAGGAUUAGAUACCCUGGUAGUCCAUGCCGUAAACGUUGGGCACUAGGUGUGGGGGACAUUCCACGUUUUCCGCGCCGUAGCUAACGCAUUAAGUGCCCCGCCUGGGGAGUACGGCCGCAAGGCUAAAACUCAAAGGAAUUGACGGGGGCCCGCACAAGCGGCGGAGCAUGCGGAUUAAUUCGAUGCAACGCGAAGAACCUUACCAAGGCUUGACAUGAACCGGAAACACCUGGGAAACAGGUGCCCCGCUUGCGGUCGGUUUACAGGUGGUGCAUGGUUGUCGUCAGCUCGUGUCGUGAGAUGUUGGGUUAAGUCCCGCAACGAGCGCAACCCUCGUUCUAUGUUGCCAGCGCGUUAUGGCGGGGACUCAU
rnacentral:rRNA from 1 species